UUUGUAGCGCGAAUCGGCUGCAUGUAGUGAAGGCGACUAGGGCAUUGUGUCGAUUUGUCGUUUACAUGAUUUGAAAACGCGCUCUUGUUCUCGCUUCCACUAUAUGGAAUGUUUUACGGCACGUGAUCACUGACGCUUGUUGAUUUUAGCAUUAUAGCUGACGUG
rnacentral:lncRNA from 1 species